CAUAUCAUAAUGACACAUUUUUAUUUAAUCACUAUAGUAUUAUGUACUGUUAUGGACUGAAAAUUGUUGCUCCAAAAUUCAUAUGUUUAAGUCCUAACCCUCAGAACCUCAAAAUGUGAGUGUAUUUGGAUAAGGAUCUGUAAAGGGUAACUAAGUUAAAGUGAGGUUAUUACUAUAUGCUUUCAUCUGAUAUGACUGGUGUCCUCAUAAAGAGAGGAAAUUAGGAAACAGACACACACAGAGGGAAAGUCUUGUUGGGACAAAUGGAAAAGACAGCUAUCUACAAGCCUAGGAAAGAGGCCUAGGAUGAAACCGACCCUGCAGACACCUUGAUCUUAGACUUGUAGCCUUCAUAAUUGUAAGAAAUAAAGUUCUAUUGUUAAACCAGCCAAUAUGUGGUACUUUGUUAUGGCAGCCCUGUCAAACUAAGACAUCUACUAAAACAAAAUCCAUAUUGAAGACCAUAAUUUCAAAAAUGACAGCAUCCUGUAACCCUGACUCCAGAAAAAAAGAUCAAUAAGUGUUCUGUGUAUACAUUUCCAAAGUUUAUUUGUCUAAUGUGUAUACUGCAGCUUUUAAAAUUGAAAUGGGAUCAAGCUAUGCAUAUUUCAGUUGCUUGCCUGGUGUUUCAUUAUUUAUGUUUAGACUUAAGUUAUGUAUCUAUCCCCUAUUUUAAUGCAUGUGUAUAUAUGUUUGUGUGGUUUUCUUUUGAUUGCAAGCCUUUUUUUUUAUUCAUAUAUUUUAUGCAUUUUUUUGUUUUACUGUUCCAAAAGAAUGCUACAAUAAAGACUCUUAUAGACUCUUAUAGAUUCUCUGUUAUCCAGGAAAAAUGACCUUUAGUCAUUGUUAUUCUUGGAAUUAAUUUAAUUAUCAGUGGAUUUUGCAGGAGAAAUUACUAUAAUUUUACCAGGUUGUGUAUAAGGAUCCUGUAUAAUCUAGUGAUUACAGCCCUAUUGCACUGUUAAUAUAAGGGUAUUUCAUGCUCAUCUGGUUGCAACUUUAAAAAUUGUUGAUAUAUUGGAAUUCCCUUUGUGGCUCAGUGGUAACCGAUCCAACUAGUAACCAUGAGGAUGCAAGUUCAAUCCCUGGCCUCACUCAGUGGGUUAAGGAUUUGGCAUUGCUGGGAGCUAUGGUGUAGGUUGCAGACAUGGCUCUGAUCCUGUGUUGCUGUGGCUGUGGUGUAGACUGGCAGCUGUAUCUCUGAUUACACCCCUAGCCUGGAAACUUCCAUAUGACGCAGGUGUGGCCCUGAAAAGGCAAAAAAAAAAAAAAAAGUUAAUAUAUGAAAUUCCCCAUUUGAACAGAAUAUUUGAGUGGUAAAUUUAUGAGACUACAUUAAAGAAAUAAUAAGAGCUGACAAAUACUUUUUGAGAGUCUCUGUCAAAAUCAUUAUAUGGGCACUCCAACAAUUUGGAUUUUAAAUAAGUCACAUAUCCCUAAAAAAAAGCAAAUAAUAAAAUUCAAUGCAUUGAGAAUGAAGGCAAUCAAUAAAAAAUGCUACAGGUAUAUUAAAAACAGAGCACUCCCAGGAUGAUCAAAGACAACUUGAUUAGUACUUGAAGAAUGACCUUUAGCAUUUUCUCAUAUACUGGGCUAAAAAUUCUCUCCUCUUCUGCUCACAGAACCAUUCACAAUAUAGGGGGGGGUUUGUUUGUUUGUUUGUUUGUUUGUUUGUUUGUUUUAAGUGUGAAAAAAACAGCCCCCCCAUUUUUUUCUUCCUGAAAUUGUGGAUGAAAAUUUCUGCAUGACUCUUCUAUAGGAUUGUAUAUAAUGAAUACAAAUGUCUUCAAGAGUGCUGUUUAAAUUAAAAGUGUAUGGAGUUCGCCUUAUGGCUUAGCAGGUUAAGAACCUGACAUAGUGUCCAUGAGGAUGCAGGUUCGAUCUCUGUCCUCACUCAGUGGGUUAAGGAUCCAGCAUUCUGCAAGAUGUGGUGCAGAUCACAGAUGUGGCUUCAAUAUGGCAUUGCUGUG
rnacentral:lncRNA from 1 species